rnacentral:rRNA from 1 species
UACGGUGAAUACGUUCCCGGACCUUGCACACACCGCCCGUCAAGCCAUGGAAGCCGGGUGGUACCUAAAGUCGGUAACCGUAAGGAGCCGCCUAGGGUAAAACUGGUGACUGGGGCU